rfam:Gossypium raimondii Chr05_contig_444, whole genome shotgun sequence.
AUCCCAUGAUGUGGACACUUACAAAGUAACUCCUUAAAUUUCUCUCAAGCCUCAUACAAAGACUCGUCAUCCAAUUGUUGGAAAGUUGUGAUCUCACUCAUUAACUU